GACGAACGCUGGCGGCGUGCCUAACACGUGCAAGUCGAACGGAAAGGCCCUGCUUUUGUGGGGUUCCCGAGUGGCGAACGGGUGAGUAACACGUGAGUAACCUGCCCUCGCCUUUGGGAUAACUUCAGGUAACUGGGGCUAAUACCGGAUAGGAGCUCCUGCUGCAUGGUGGGGGUUGGAAAGUUUCGGCGGUUGGGGAUGGACUGGCGGCUUAUCAGCUUGUUGGUGGGGUAGUGGCUUACGAAGGCUUUGACGGGUAGCCGGCCUGGGAGGGUGACCGGCCACAUUGGGCCUGAGGUACGGCCCAGACGCGUACGGGAGGCAGCGGUGGAGAGUAUUACGCAAUAGGCGGAAGCCUGAUGCAACAACGCCGCGUGCGGAAUGACGGCCUUCGGGGUAUAAACCGCUUUCGCCGGAGACGAAGCGUGAGUGACGGUACUGGAUAAGAAAGCACCGGCUAACUACGUG
rnacentral:rRNA from 1 species